GAUGAACGCUGGCGGCGUGCCUAAUACAUGCAAGUCGAGCGAACAGACGAGGAGCUUGCUCCUCUGACGUUAGCGGCGGACGGGUGAGUAACACGUGGAUAACCUACCUAUAAGACUGGGAUAACUUCGGGAAACCGGAGCUAAUACCGGAUAAUAUAUUGAACCGCAUGGUUCAAUAGUGAAAGACGGUUUUGCUGUCACUUAUAGAUGGAUCCGCGCCGCAUUAGCUAGUUGGUAAGGUAACGGCUUACCAAGGCGACGAUGCGUAGCCGACCUGAGAGGGUGAUCGGCCACACUGGAACUGAGACACGGUCCAGACUCCUACGGGAGGCAGCAGUAGGGAAUCUGCCGCAAUGGGCGAAAGCCUGACGGAGCAACGCCGCGUGAGUGAUGAAGGUCUUCGGAUCGUAAAACUCUGUUAUUAGGGAAGAACAAAUGUGUAAGUAACGAUGCACGUCUUGACGGUACCUAAGCAGAAAGCCACGGCUAACUACGU
rnacentral:rRNA from 1 species